AUUCUGAACUCAGAGCAUGGUUCUGACAGCAGUGCUGUAGACAUGGUCUCUCAGCAUCUCUCCAGCACUGCUUGUUUCUGACAUGCUACUGAUAAGCACUGCAGUGUGAGUGAUGAACAGAGGGCAUUGCUGUGACAAGCUGAAAGAACUCAGGUGGGACCUCUCUGCUUCAUGGACACAUUUUAUGGCAUCUGGAAAGGUUUCCAAAAUGCCUUUCCAGGCUAGAACCCAGGUUGUGGUCUGCUGGCCGGACACAACAAUUGGCGCCCAACGUGGGGCUGAGAAACUGCAAAGGAUUUUUGAAAGAGACGCUGCUGGUUCGGAGCUCCAUAAAAUAAAGGAUAAGGGAAAUUCAUACCGGAGAAGGUAAAUCAACAUUCUCGAGGCGGACCAGCGAAUGUGCAUCCCCGCGCCCCUAGAGCACACAGGUGGCUGCUGUUAUCUCCUUUCCAAGGACAUUUCCAGCAUGUGGCUUUCAGUCUGAGUUAAAAAUUAAGUUUACCAAGAGGGCUAGAAAAGUAGAUAUUUCUAUAUUAAUAAAGAUUGGUUUUUAUUUUGAUAGACAGGCUUAGUCCCUUAGCUGACCUCUGGCUUUUCACCCUUGCUGUUACUGCAAGGUGUCCUUAGGCUGUAAAAAAAACAGGGAUGAGGAGAAACGACUUCCAGCUCCUAUUUUAGCCACAAAUCGUGGUGUUACUAACGACAUAAUUCUUGCUUAGGCUUUGCUAAUUCUGAGGUUGAUAAUUCUCCUUUAGAAGCUGCACAGCACUCAAAACUGUGCAUACUGGUUUGUGAUAUUUUCCGGCUCUACCUCGCCUCCCCAAAAGAUACCCAGAGCCACAUGUGUGGGUUUUACCAAUACCCACGGGAGAAAUCGGGUCCAUGUCCACCCAAGCCAAGGUUAAAAGCCCACUCAUCUACGGAUGAAAAAAUCAUUUGAUCACCUCAGUUAAGCGUUGCCUUAUUUAACUUAAUCAAUAGGGGAGAGAGAGAUUGGAGACGUACUAUUGAAAGGGCAAGCCCUUCACUGCCUCCCACCCAAAUAAAAAAGCCAAUUGGCCUUGUACUACAAGAGCCGGUUGAACUCCUUCUCCCUGUUUCCCACCUAUCAUCCAAAAAUGCGGAGGAAUAUCAACUUAGUGUUAUAGUGUUUUUCACAUUUGUUCAGUCAAACUUAGCCAGAGUUCCAACGCCCUACUUAAAAUUCAACUAGAAAGUUACCUACCAAGUACUAAUUAGCAUUAUAAAGUCAGAGCCUACAGCUCCAGGCUUUUCAGUUAGUUGUUCACUAAGAUAAGAAAGGACAGUCUUAGCCUUAUACAGUUUACCAUAAAAAAAGUUAAGGAAUCCCAUGAAAGCAAGUUUUUUCUUUAGCCCUAGAUUCCAGACAGAACUAUUGAGCAUAGAUAAUUUUUCCCCCCUCAGGCCAACUUUUUCUUUUUUUAAAUUUUGUUAAUAAAAGGGAGGAGAUGUAGUCUCCCCUCCCCUAGCCUGAAACCUGCUUGCUCAGGGGUGGAGCUUCCUGCUCAUUCGGUCUGCCACGCCCACUGCUGGAACCUGCGGAGCCACACACGUGCACCUUUCUACUGGACCAGAGAUUAUUCGGCGGGAAUCGGGUCCCCUCCCCCUUCCUUCAUAACUAGUGUCGCAACAAUAAAAUUUGAGCCUUGAUCAGA
rnacentral:lncRNA from 1 species